rnacentral:rRNA from 1 species
AGCGGCGGACGGGUGAGUAACACGUGGGUAACCUGCCCAAGAGACUGGGAUAACACCUGGAAACAGAUGCUAAUACCGGAUAACAACACUAGACGCAUGUCUAGAGUUUGAAAGAUGGUUCUGCUAUCACUCUUGGAUGGACCUGCGGUGCAUUAGCUAGUUGGUAAGGUAACGGCUUACCAAGGCAAUGAUGCAUAGCCGAGUUGAGAGACUGAUCGGCCACAUUGGGACUGAGACACGGCCCAAACUCCUACGGGAGGCAGCAGUAGGGAAUCUUCCACAAUGGACGAAAGUCUGAUGGAGCAACGCCGCGUGAGUGAAGAAGGGUUUCGGCUCGUAAAGCUCUGUUGGUAGUGAAGAAAGAUAGAGGUAGUAACUGGCCUUUAUUUGACGGUAAUUACUUAGAAAGUCACGGCUAACUACGUGCCAGCAGCCGCGGUAAUACGUAGGUGGCAAGCGUUGUCCGGAUUAUUGGGCGUAAAGCGAGUGCAGGCGGUUCAAUAAGUCUGAUGUGAAAGCCUUCGGCUCAACCGGAGAAUUGCAUCAGAAACUGUUGAACUUGAGUGCAGAAGAGGAGAGUGGAACUCCAUGUGUAGCGGUGGAAUGCGUAGAUAUAUGGAAGAACACCAGUGGCGAAGGCGGCUCUCUGGUCUGCGACUGACGCUGAGGCUCGAAAGCAUGGGUAGCGAACAGGAUUAGAUACCCUGGUAGUCCAUGCCGUAAACGAUGAGUGCUAAGUGU